rnacentral:lncRNA from 1 species
CACCAAUGGCUAGCCCCCUUCUUUAACAUAAACACUGAAAAUGUUACCCUUUCAGCAUCGUCACAUCUUAUAAAUUUAAAGAUGCGUUCUAAUUCUCGUAACCAAUCCUCAACUGCUAAGGGAUCCGUAUUCCCCUCAAAUGAUGGAGGGUUCAUUUUACGAAACUGCUCUAUCAUUGCAGUUCGAUCCCUCGAGUUAGGUACUAUUUGAGGUUGAAUAAUUGGUUGGUUAGGUUCCUGAUGAUCAACUGGUACUUGUUGAUUUAGGGUUCGUUGCCCAGUCAAAGGUGGUGCCUGUUGUUGCUGUCCCAACUCCCGCAUUACAGCAAGCAGUUCUCGUGCAAAGUUUGCAACAUUAACUUCACCACCACUAGAACUAGCAUUAGC